rnacentral:rRNA from 1 species
UACAGAGGGUGCAAACGUUGUUCGGAAUUACUGGGCGUAAAGCGCGUGUAGGCGGCUAUGUAAGUCGGGCGUGAAAUCCCACGGCUCAACCGUGGAAGUGCACCCGAAACUGCGUAGCUAGAGUCCUGGAGAGGAAGGUGGAAUGCUUGGUGUAGAGGUGAAAUUCGUAGAUAUCAAGCGGAACACCGGUGGCGAAGGCGGCCUUACUGGACAGUGACUGACGCCUGAGACGCGAAAGCG